rnacentral:lncRNA from 1 species
UUGCAUUGCAGUGUUUGAUCUCAUUGAAAGAGAUAACAUCUGUUAGCUACAGAACAAAACAAGAGAGGGUACGACCAUACAUUAAGAAACGUUAACAAGAGCUUGAUUGUGACCUGAAAAAGGAUAAGCUACUAAGGAGAUUAAAGUCAGUUGCCUUGUGUUCCAAUGACUUCUUCAUAUACUUAAUCUUCUUUUACAGUGUGCCAAGUUUCAUGCAGAUCAUAACAUAGCAUAGUAUAGCAUAGAUUACCGAAACAACUGAAAUGAAGCUUGUUUCUGAAUGAUGAAUGGUGUAUCCACACCAUAAGACACUAAAUUAUAUUGUUCUUUUUUCUUUUCUCCUGCAUUUUGAUUUCUUCCAAACUUGAAGUCAUAGCAGUCUUAGAAUAAUCAUAAAAAAA